rnacentral:tRNA from 1 species
GGAAAGAUGGUUGAGUGGUUUAAGAUGUAGCAUUGGAAAUGCUACGUAAGCUAUAGCUUACCGAGGGUUCGAAUCCCUCUCUUUCC